GAUGAACGCUGGCGGCGUGCCUAAUACAUGCAAGUCGAGCGAACAGACGAGGAGCUUGCUCCUCUGACGUUAGCGGCGGACGGGUGAGUAACACGUGGAUAACCUACCUAUAAGACUGGGAUAACUUCGGGAAACCGGAGCUAAUACCGGAUAAUAUAUUGAACCGCAUGAUUCAAUAGUGAAAGACGGUUUUGCUGUCACUUAUAGAUGGAUCCGCGCCGCAUUAGCUAGUUGGUAAGGUAACGGCUUACCAAGGCAACGAUGCGUAGCCGACCUGAGAGGGUGAUCGGCCACACUGGAACUGAGACACGGUCCAGACUCCUACGGGAGGCAGCAGUGGGGAAUAUUCCGCAAUGGGCGAAAGCCUGACGGAGCAACGCCGCGUGAGUGAUGAAGGUCUUCGGAUCGUAAAACUCUGUUAUUAGGGAAGAACAAAUGUGUAAGUAACUAUGCACGUCUUGACGGUACCUAAUCAGAAAGCCACGGCUAACUACGUG
rnacentral:rRNA from 1 species